rnacentral:rRNA from 2 species
GCAAUGGGGGAAAACCUGAGGCAGCCACGCCGCGUGAAGGAAGACGGUCCUACGGAUUGUAAAGUUNCNUUAGAUUUGAAGAAAUCAUGGGUUUGGACCGAUAAUGACGGUAGGGUAGGAAUAAGCACCGGCUAACUCCGUGCCAGCAGCCGCGGUAAUACGGAGGGUGCGAGCGUUGUCCGGAAUCAUUGGGUGUAAAGGGCGCGCAGGCGGGUUGUUAAGUCAGAGGUGAAAUCCCGGGGCUCAACGUUAAAAGUGCCUUGGAUACUGGCAACCUUGAGUCUGANAGAGGUCGGUGGNAUUCGUAGUGUAGCGGUNAAAUUCAUAGAUAUUAGGAAGAACACCAGUNGNUAAACGGCCGGCUGGAUCNNAACUGNCGCUCAGGCGCNNNAGCGUGGGGAGCNAACNGGAUUAUUACCCUGG